GUGGGGAAUAUUGGGCAAUGGAUGCAAGUCUGACCCAGCCAUCCCGCGUGCCGGAAGAAGGCCCUCAGGGUUGUAAACGGCUUUUGACGGUGAAGAAUCGACAGGAUGCGUCCUGUUUUGACGGUAGCCGUUGAAUAAGCACCGGCUAACUCCGUGCCAGCAGCCGCGGUAAUACGGAGGGUGCGAGCGUUGUCCGGAUUUAUUGGGUUUAAAGGGUGCGUAGGCUGGAAGGUCAGUCAGCGGUGAAAAGCUGUCGCUUAACGAUAGUCUUGCCGCAGAUACUUCCGUUCUUGGAUGAGGAGGAGGCCACUGGAACGGAUGGUGUAGCGGUGAAAUGCAUAGAUAUCAUCCAGAACACCGAUUGCGAAGGCAGGUGGCUGUACCUUAAUCGACGCUGAUGCACGAAAGCAUGGGGAGCAAACAGGAUUAGAUACCCGGGUAGUCC
rnacentral:rRNA from 1 species